UAGUGGCAAGAGACUGGAGUUGGGAUGUGAGGGCGAUCUGGCUGCGACAUCUGUCACCCCAUUGAUCGCCAGGGUUGAUUCGGCUGAUCUGGCUGGCUAGGCAGGUGUCCCCUUCCUCCCUCGCCACUCUAUGUGCGUCCCUCCCGAAGCUG